GAGCCCUCAAGCCAAGGGUCACCACGUCCAGCUUCACGUACUGAGACUGCUGCUCGUUGAACAACACCUGAAUGGACAGAGAAGAUGAUCUCUCAUGAACAGAUUUUCUCCAGACUUCUGUCAGCCUGACAAGGAGGAAGGCCUGGAUACUUGAGAUUACCCAAAACCUGAUACCCAGCUCUCCAAAAACAUGAUUCAUACAUCUACACUAUGACUGCUCGAGCUAAAUAAAGCUUGCUUCUAGCUUUGCAUGCAGACUUUUUUAAUUCACCCUACUAUCCAACCAUCCAUGCAUUUUCUUCCACCUAUCCAAUUCAGAGUCACAGGGGGGCUGGAGCCUAAUUCACCAGACUAAAAGUAAGAAAUGUAUUUUUAUAGGUGUGAUGCUUUAACCUGGAUCUCUGUUUUAUUUAAGAUGUUUUCAGCUGGAUUCAUCUUUCUCAGAAUCGUCAGUGUUUGAACUUUGUCUUAACCAUCCCAUGAACCCGUUUCAGUUUACUUUAAUUUCACUUUAAAUUAUUACCCAACCAUUGAAAUUGAAAUUGUUUUUUGAAAUUAAGUUGGCAGGAUAAAAAUAUGGAAUUUUGUGAAAUAAUAUAAAGAUACCUAAUCAACUUUAAAGCUGCAUUUAUACCUUUGGGACAAAACAUUUUCAUUUUGACUCUGUUUUGGUCUUUUCCAUAGACUGUAUAUAAAAGAUGGAUGUGCCCAUUGCAAACACAAAGUAUGACACAGUAUGUUGUUUCAGAGGAAGUCAGGUUAAAGGGAAGUCAUAUAAUGAAUUACUUCAUUAUAUGACUUUGUAAAAAAAAAAGUUAAAAAAAAGAUGAAUUUAUGUCAUCAGUCACCAGCAGAUGACAAAGACUUUGAUUUUUUUGAUUUGUUUCCUGUAAGAGUGUACUCCUCUUACUGUGAAUAUGGGUUUCUUAAUCAUUUUGUCAUAAAAGGAAUUCAACAGAGCUGCCCGUUCCAGGAAAUAAUUCACUGUCAGCGAAAACUGAAUUCCCUAAAAAUACAUUACACAAUGUCGACUUUGUUUGCUGCAUUACAUACUGGUUAAUGUGUAACUGUAAACAGUACAAAGCCUCAGGGUUUAAAGAGUGAAGCCAAUGUAGAAGUAACUUAGCUUGUGUUCUUUUUAAUAGUCACCAGGGGGCGAUACAGGUACAAAAAUAAUUCUAAUCCUAUAUACAUUUAAGGGAAAAUGUCUCUUUCUUGACCUCUUUAAACACUUUCCUGUUGAGUUUAUGGACUUAGUCACUCAUUUGAAUUAAAAACUUAAGUAAACAUUUGUCAUACCAAGUUCCAGAAAGGAGGAUUAGCCAAGGUGUGCUUGCUGACUAACAACUUGUGAGCUAUAAUUCAUUAGCCAGUGAUUUUUGUUUUGUAACAUUACUGCAAAAAUAUUGUUUUACAGUAGCAUUAUGAAUUUUAAAACCUUAAGCAGAGGACAUUAAUACUGUGCAACCAAAUUUUCUUUGAAGGGUUUAUAUUAAAAGUGAACAGCUAGAUAGCUAGCUUAGUUAGCAAGGUAUGCUAACUAAGCUAGCUAGCGCAAGCGGAUCAGCUCCAGUCCAAUUAUGUUCUUCAGCAACCAGUGCAAAUUUUGAUUUAAUUCUAGUCAUAAGUCUAAAGUCAUAGUCAGUUUUAAUCGAAUAAAUCUCAUAAAAUUAUAAUAAAUAUUAAAUCUAAAGGUGAUUCAGUUGAUUAAAAUAUGAAGCGUAAAAGUGUGGCGUAGUUUGGUGUCCUACUUUUAUUGACAUCAAAUGUGUCCAUAUGUCUGCUCUUGUCUUUGUCCAAAGCACUAACAUUUUGUCACAUUUUAAUAAGAAACAGGGAGAUUUCUGAGUUCUGUUUCCAAAAAAAAGCUGUACCGUUGCCCGAGGGCUGAUCGAUUGUUAGCAUCUAACCACUGGAUCGCUGCCAAACACGUUCUGCCUUUCUACAACUUAAUUAUUUGUCUUUGGAUCUCAUCUCUCCAGAAUAUUUUCAUCUCGUUCCUAUUCGCAGACGUAAGCAUCAGUAAAAUUAUUUCUCUCAAUGAAAAAGGUCGUUGAGAGAAAUUACUUGACAAUGAAAUUAACACUGAUGGAAAAUUGAACUU